CAGGAGAUUCGGGGGAUGGAGGGCAUUGCCUGUCACUGUGAGAUUUGCUCAGGGAUCCUCAAGUGAAAGCUGGGUCACCAGACUCCAAACCUCAGCCACGUCUGACCACUGUUGGAAUCGUCUUCCUGGAGGACUAUCUUGCAGGGUGGGCCUGUGGGAAUUGGUUCCAUGGUGCCCAGAGCUGUUCACUUCCUUUCCUGG
rnacentral:lncRNA from 1 species